rnacentral:tRNA from 2 species
ACCAGACUAGCUCAGUUGCAAGAGCACGAGAUUCUUAAUCUUGGGGUCAUGGGUUGAAGCCCCACGCUGGGUG